UUUUGUGUUUUUAGUAAAGACACCUGGAACUCCCAAAGUGCUGGAUUACAAGUGUGAGCCACUGUACCCAGCCAUUAAGCAUUAACUGGGAAGGCCCUGGGGCCACUGGCCAGCACCAGUUUGUGAGGGCAGAGCCAGAAAAGCCCAGGCUUAGAAGACUUUUUACACACACACAUAACGCAUCCUGAUUCUGGAAAGUGGAGAUGCUGUCACUGCUCUCACAGAACUAAGCCAAGGACCUCACCUGUCAUUUAGGUGUCAGGCCUCUGGCAGGGGCAGCCAAAAUGCUCUAGGACCACAGAGCUGCAAGCCAGUAAGGCUUCCUAGAGGAGGCGGCAUCAUCUGAUCCAAGAAUGGGGUGAUGGGUGGCAUGAGAAAAUGUCAGGAGGUGCUGGGGAUAAAGCAAGAUGAGCAAGCAGAGAACAGGAGUGGGUGGGUACAGAUGGAUCAGGGGAGGGGUAUGGGUGAAGAGUGUACAGGGUGAGCCCCAGAGCCGUGCGUGUGCCCACUCAGGACAGCCAUAGUCUGCUGCUGCCUAGAGAAAGGGGCUGGCUCAACCCUAGCUCCCAAAUCUUUUUCCUAUGACUUUUUCCUUUGUCCUUAUCUCUUUCCUGAACUAUCCAGAUAUCUUCCUGCCUCCUGCCUCUAGGGCAGCCCAAAUGCUCAUUGCUGCCCCAUCCCUCUGGGCUGAAGGAGCAAACGCCUGGAGGCUGGAAAGAGAAAGGUGUCUGCAGGGAACAAGCCGCUGUCCUGUGGUGGGUGCAAAUUGGUAUGCUCUGUUCACGCAGAAACCCAGCAGUGUGUACCUGCUGUAGGCAAGGCCUAAUAGGAAGCGCGAAAGGAGUUUCUGUCCCAUGGGAGGAAAAGACAUCCCUUGCUCUGUGGGAAACCAACCCCCAAGGCCUGAGGACACCCAAGCAGCCCCAUGGAGAGGCCCAUAUGGAGAGGAACUGAGGCAUCCCACCCUCAACCGGCAGAGCGGGGCUUUGAAAACAGAUCCUUUCGCCCCAGGCAAGCCUUCCAAUGGAUUGCAGCCCCAGCCAAUGCCUUGAACUGCCAAGUUCAGCCACACCUAAAUUCCUAACCCAUAGGAACUGUGAGAGAUAAUAAAAGUUUGUUGUUGUUUCAAGCCA
rnacentral:lncRNA from 1 species